GGAGAUGUGCCUGAAAUAAAAGGAUCAUUUUGAUAGAAUGCCUCAUGAGGGUUUAAGUCCCUCCAUUCUCC
rnacentral:tRNA from 1 species